rnacentral:misc_RNA from 1 species
CUCAGCUGAAUUGUGUAUUUUUAUUUAUUAUCAGCAUUUCUGUGUUAGAUUUUCUUAAUUUUCCGCGUUCUUUAUAGUUCAGUAAAGGCAACGCCUUAUUUAAUCUGUGAAAAGUGUUAUUUGAAGUGUGAAAAUUGAUGAGUACCUUUGUUUUGUGUUCGUGAAAUCUUUCAACAAUGUUUGGGAGGCCUAGGUGUAGGGAAUAUACUCCUCUAGCGACCCAGCAAUUACGGCUUCGGAGUCUUAUACAGAUUGUAGGCUACAACAUCCGACCACCCGAAGGCUGUCAUUACCAGUGCAGUUUCUACCUGACCCUCCAUCACACCACCAUGUCGGCACCAUUCUACACUAGUGAGAGGAUCUGCUCGCCGCAUCCAAAAUGGAAGGAGAUAGAUUCAGAAAUAACUCAUCGUAUGUCCUCAACGAACGUUGUCAUACGCAUCUGGUGUCACAUGCUACCACCAAACAAAGAUUACGAAGAUACAGACCGACAAGACACCGUCAUACAGACCUGGGGGGUAUACUUCACAGGCCUGAGGUAUCUAGGGGCCAACUUAGCCUUAAACUUCACCUCAGACUGCUUCAAAAGCAAUACCCUAGUUUUUCAAAUGCAUGGAGGAUAUUUCUGCUCAUACAAAAGUCUUAAACUAGAUAUAAUACCACCAGAAAAUGAGAUAGAACAUAGCUCAUUAUCAUCAGAUUCUUCAGGCAAAACUAAAACAUUAGAAUCUAGAUUUAUUCAGAAUCAUGCAGUGAAAUCUAGAUCGAUAUCACCAAGUAAAUUUUCAAGACGGACCGAUAAAGAAUAUUCAAAAAGUCAUAGUCCGGUCGAAAGAGGAUUUAAACAGAAUUUUCCUACUAUUAAAAACUCAGCGAGUUUAAACAUAGGACAGAGCAGGGAUUUUAGAGAACGGAGCGAAGAAAAGAAGUUAGAUCCAAAUUUAAUAUAUGAACAUUCACCGGAUACUCAAGAUGUUAGUAGUGAUGUUAACUGUGAUAAUUUAUCUAAGAACGCUUCGAAAGAAGAUUUAAAUAAAAUAGAUUUGAGCGAGACCGCUGAGAACUAUGAUCUUCGGAACGAAAUUGAUGUACCGAAGUAUCGGUAUAACGCUUUAAGCUUUUUGAAAUCAGAGAUCCGACCGAGUUACAAUUCGGAUAAGUUGCAGAAGUUGCAUAUAUUGCAGUAUUCGAUUAAGAAGAAGCAAGAAGCGGUGCAAGAUGUGAGAGAGAAGAUUUAUAAGAGUUCAGCGUUGGCUAGUAGUUUGACGGAUGAGUUUGGUGAUGAGGUGCGGUUGAAGAGCAAGUCGCAGCGGAACCUGUUCUCUCCGGAUGAGGAGUUGGAGAGGACGGUAAGGAAUGGAAAGGUGAAGGAUGAGAAACCGGUGUCGAAUGGACCGAGACUGGCGUUGAAGUUGAAUGAUCUCUUAUCUUUUAAGUCGAAACCGUCCCCCUUCCAAAGGGCAGAGCACGUGAGGCUAACGAAACAGAUAGAAAUACUCCGCUUCAAGAGGAUAUUACUGGCGGAUGAGAGAGACAGCAAGCUAGCUAACAUACGAAGACUAAAAGAGAGGCAUGCUAAACUUUGUGAAGAGAAUCAGGAUUUAGGUUUAGAACUAAUGCAGGGUUACCACAGUCUCUCCCGUCGCACUGAUCGACUAAAAGAGCAGAGGCAGUCUGCGGCAGCUCUGAGAGAGCUCGCGGCGCGGGCCCACAGAGAGUUGGCGACACAUAGCGACUCAUUAUUGCAGCAACUGGCGCAGAUAUUCUAUAUCGAACAGGUGGACCAAACGACCUGGAAAAUCCUGGAUGUUCCACUCCCAGUGUGCUCAGACGGCGCGCGGCCGUCGGGCGCGGCGGAUGCAGUAGCGGCGGGCUUCGCGGCGCAGGCGGUCGUGCUCACCGCCGCCAUCUUGAAUUUACCCACAAGAUAUAAAAUUACAUUGUUGGGUUCAGCAACUAAAAUACUAGACAUCACGCCGGAUUUGCCCGAUCCAAACAUACCCCUGUUCGCCCGCGGCGGCGACGCGACGCUAUUCCGCUACGCCAUGUUCCUACUGAACAAGUGCAUCGCGCAGCUGUUGUGGGCUAGGGGCCUACCUGUCACUGAUAUGAGGCCUACGCUCGCUAAUCUACAGAGACUGAUGACUACUCCUCAUAAUUCGAGCGACACGUCAAAACUGUUUGGAACGCACCGAUGGCUGCCGGAACGGUGUUCGCACACGCAGAGCUUGAGAAGCCUUGUCGCCUCAGAUAGAGGGAAGUACAGGCAGUUCAACAGGUUUAAGGACUCCGUCGACGGCCAAUCCCCACAGGCCGUGAUGACGCUGAGUCGACACCGACACUCUAGAAGUGUUGGAAGUUACAACGACGACCAGGAAUCACCCGCAUUAGACCAGUCAACAACAUCCAUAAUGGGAAGUGAACCUAACAUCUACAACACAAAACUGUCCCACGUAGCAUCAGAACCGCCAACACUCAUGAAAUCUCACAAUUCCGACUCCGAAAUACUUCGACACACAACAGAAAACGAAAAAGUCAUAUUCACUUUAGGCGACGACUGUAUAAAUGACAUUAAAUCUGACAGAUUAGUUAAACUAUCUAGUAAUAACGAUGAUAGUGAAGAUGUUAAGAAAAUCUGUUCAGAAAUUAAAGAUUUCUGUGAAAUCAAUGAACAAAAAGAUUUUGACAAAGACGAAGAAGGUUUAGAUAUAGUUAAACAUCUUGAAGGCAACGUGGAUAUAGAUAUAGCGAAAUAUAUGGAAGAGAAGAGAGUCAGCGUUGUUGAAACUUGUGAUGACUGUGAGGAUUGUGACGAAUCUUGUGCUAAAGUGACUGAUGUUAUUGUAAUACCUAGUGCGGAAGCCAUAUUGGAUACUGGACAGGAAACGGAAGUGAAAGAGUGAUUUCUACUACGGAUAUUAACAUUAUUGUGAAGAUUGUUUAUAUAUAAUUGGAUAUUUAAUUGUAAGGUGUUUUCUCAUUGUGGUUCAAGCGAAGCCAUGAAUGCCAAUUUAAAAUAUAUUUUAAUUUUGUUUUAUUGAAACUGGAUUUUUUUGGUUAGGGCGCCUUGCCACUAGAAAUGUGACAAAAUGACAAUAUUAAGUUAGAACAAAGACUAUAGACGGAUAAAGUCUAAGAAAAAAACGUACCUCAAAGCCAUAGAGAAAAAGAAUCGGUGACCUAGAUGGCGUUACACCUUUGGGGAACGCUCGGCUAGAUGGCGCUAAUAUUAACAUUUCCUUUGACAUUUUAACACAUAUCAAGCUAACAAUAUGGGCCAAAUUGUCAAAACAGAGGUCCUUAAGUUUAAAGCCAGUGUCGAGAGAUGGCGUUCUAUGCACUAUGACUACAUCAUUAUUUUACUUUGACAGUCUUCUUUACAGCAUAGCACGGGUGAAAAAAGUUCAACUAAGAUUAUUGUGUAUUUACACAUCUCUAGUGGAAAGGCAUCCUUAAGCUGAAAUGUCCACAUUAGUAACUUGGAGACAAUACUAUAUUUUGAUGUUAUCAAACUGAUUUAUGAUAUCAUCUAUGACUAUAUGAACUGUAAAAUACAUAAAAAGUCGUAUAUGCCGUUAAAAUUAUAUUGCAAUAGAGAUAUAAUGUACAGAAAAUCUUAUUCAUACCGAUAAGUUAAAGCUUGUACUUGAUUUUGUAAUAGAAAUUAAAACCAUUUUAUUAUAGUCAUCUAUUUCAACACUUAUUUAGGUUAUUUUACAGCAAUUCUUUUUGUCACAAGCAAUUCAUUCAUAUUCGAUUCAAUGAUAUUUCUUCAGAAUUAAUGUUUAAUUAAAUUAUUAACUUGUAGUCUGUAUCUUGAGGUAUGUAAAUGAAAAUGAAUGCUGAGCCGCGGUCCUGGGUUCGAAUCCCGCUAAGGGCAUUUAUUUGUGUGAUGAGCACAGAUCUUUGUUCCUGAGUCAUGGAU